CGGUCAGGAGCAGCAGGAAAUAUCCCUGGAAGGUGUAGGCCUUACUGGAUAAGAGGAUGUCCAUGCCACUGUUCUGUAAAUAGUUUGGGCUGUGCAGAAGGAUGAGGAGAUGCUGGAAUCUGGAAUAGCCAUGGAAGAAGUAACUGGAUAAGAGGAGGCCCAUGCCAUACUGAAAAGAUGCAGACCAACAACAUAUUCUCUUAAGUUUUAAUAAAUAGUUUAAAAAAACUUGCAUACAUUUCUGUCUUUGCUUUUCCUUCAAGAUAUGCCCCUCAAAUAGAAUAACUAUGACAAUGGUUGGUUUAGGCCUAAAGCUUUUCAGAGUUUGAGGAAUUUGAGAGACACUUGUAGGCCUAAUGAUUGUUUUGACGAUUACUUAAACACAAUACAGUUUUGCUCGUGCAGUAUUAAUUUACCAAAAUUAUACUGAAAUUAGUAGGAUUGUGGUCUGGAUAAGGAAACGUUAUGAUUUCCAUCGUGGGGCAGUGCGGAUAGGCCUGGGACAAAAAAGUCCUGCAUUUGGGUUGAAAGUGUCCCUCUUUUGGGGAUCAGGGAGUUGGCAACCCUAGCUCUAUUAUACCUUUGGACCGUAGUUCGUUUUGUUCCCCGGCAGGCGUCGCUUAUCCGCGCGAUCUUCACGAGACUUGUGCGAGACUUCGAAACGUGAAGCGUCAGCCAGGUGUCAGUGCCGCCAUUUUGAAAACUUGGAUCCUCCCUCAGACACCCUCUGAAAACUGUUUUCCAAACGAGUUGAAAUGACGAUUACUGCCUACUUUUUUCAAACUUUCCUGAUUGCUAUCAAAACAAACAACUUCCUGCUUGAUUACGUCAGCAUUCGAAAGAGUGCGCGCAUGUCUUUUGAAAACCCCCGUGUCUGAAAUCGCUCCCUACUCACUAUACAGGGCACUAUAUAGUGAGGACGCCAUUUUGUAGUGCUGUCCGAAACCUUACUGAGGAUUAUUUACACCCUAUACAGUGCACUCAAAGUAUCCCACAAUGCAUCACGAAGUAUUUUUUUUACAUUCACACAGUUGUAUAAUUAUCAUUAAAAGUCUUCAAAUAUUUUCAAAUGCAUUCAAGAGUGACAUUGCUUUUUUGCAUUUCAUCCACUUUAAGGCAGUGAGAAUUUUCUAAAAGAUGUUUUUUGAA